rnacentral:rRNA from 1 species
UACGUAGGGCGCGAGCGUUGUCCGGAAUCAUUGGGCGUAAAGAGCUCGUAGGCGGCCGGUUGCGUCUGCUGUGAAAUCCCGGGGCUUAACCCCGGGCGUGCAGUGGAUACGGGCUGGCUGGAGGCAGGCAGGGGAGAAUGGAAUUCCCGGUGUAGCGGUGAAAUGCGUAGAUAUUGGGAGGAACACCAGUGGCGAAGGCGGCUACCUGGACCGGUUCUGACGCUGAGGCGCGAAAGCGUGGGUAGCAAACAGG